CUGGGACUGAAGAACUUCCUCCAGCACAAUGGAGGCCAGUCUUUCUCAUCAGGGUCUCAUGCCACCCAGGCUAAAGUGCAGUGGUACAGUCAUGGCUCACUGCAGGCUUGACCUCCUGGACUCAAGCAAUCCUCUCAGCUCAGCCUCCCAAGUAACUGGGACUACAGGUGCGCACCACUGUUCACAAUGGCAAAGACAUGGAAUCAACCCAAAGACCACCUUCCACGUCUUUUCAUGGCUUCAUACCUCGUUUCUUUUUAAUUCUGAGCAAUAUUGCAUUGUAUGGACAUACUAAAGUUUAUUCAUCUAUAGAAAGACAUCUUGCUUGCUUCCAAGUUUUGGAAAUCAUGACUAAAGCUGCUAUAAACAUC